rnacentral:rRNA from 1 species
UACGUAGGGUGCGAGCGUUAAUCGGAAUUACUGGGCGUAAAGCGCGCGCAGGCGGUUCUAUGAGACAGAUGUGAAAUCCCCGGGCUCAACCUGGGAAUGGCAUUUGUGACUGUAGAACUAGAGUACGGUAGAGGGGGAUGGAAUUCCGCGUGUAGCAGUGAAAUGCGUAGAUAUGCGGAGGAACACCGAUGGCGAAGGCAAUCCCCUGGACCUGUACUGACGCUCAUGCACGAAAGCGUGGGGAGCAAACAGG